UUCUAAUAAAAUUUUUAUUAGUAUAAUCUGCUCAAUGAAUAUUAAAUAGCUGCAAUUUCUGUACUAAGGUAGCAUAAUCAUUAGUUUUUUAAUUAAAGACCAGAAUGAAAGAUUUUACAUUUAAAUUAUUUUUUUAUUUAAUAAAAUUUAAUUUUCUCUAAAUAUAAAAAAAUAUUUAUAUCAAAAAAAGACGAUAAGACCCUAUCGAACUUUACUUUAGUUAAACUGGGGAAGUUAAUUAAUUAAUAUUUUAAUUUUUCUAUCAAAAUCUAAUAACCUUCUAUAAUUAAUAAUAUUAUCAAGUUACCGUAGGGAUAACAGCACAAUAAUUUUCAAAAGAUCUUAUUCAAAAAAUUCUUGUGACCUCGAUGUUGAAUAAUUAUCUAUUUAACGCAAUAGUUAAAAAAGAAAGUCUGUUCGACUUUUUAUCUUUUACA
rnacentral:rRNA from 1 species